UGCAGUGGGUUGCCAUGCCCUCCUCCAGGGGAAUCUUGCCAACCCAGGGAUCAAACACACGUCUCUCAUACCUCCUGCAUGGGCAGGUGGGUUCUUUACCACUAGCGCCACCUGGGAAGCCCGCCUGUGAUCUCCUGAGCAGUUGGUUUUCACCACAACGCACCCGAUUUUGUUCCGGGGAACGCCAGGUCGGUCUCGGAGCUGGCUGCGCCUCGGAGGUGAUGUGCGUGAACGCAUCGCUAGGUGGUGACAGAGCAUCGCUACCAGCCCUUCACUCUCAGAGCGCGAGGAAGAGAACCGAGUUCACGCCCCGGGAAAUCACUACCAACUCUCCUCCUAUAUCACAAGUCACUGAACCUCCUGUCACGUGGCAAAGCAGGCCAGGGCAACAGGCCUCUACCGGUCUCUUCCAGUUGAUGAUUUAUUGAUUUUGUUGGCUGGCAUUUUCACUUAAUCCUUGGUUUGAUUUAACUGAGCUGCGGGAGUUUGUUUGUUUGUUUGUUUUAGUUGGUCAGUCUUGCUAGAAUUCUACCCAAAGAAAAAUAAACCUUGUUUAUUAUCGCC